ACAAGGAUUCCUCUAGUAACGGCGAGCGAACGAGGAAAAGCCCAGCACCGAAUCCUGUACCGUCCUGGUGCUAGGAAAUGUGGUGUUUAGGCCGUGCUUUGUGUUGGUACGACUCUCCUCAAGUCCACUUGAUUGUGGCUUCAGGCCCAGAGAGGGUGUAAGGCCCGUGGAGGCGAGUUGUCCGGCGCCCGGCACGUCCUUAGAGUCGGGUUGUUUGGGAAUGCAGCCCUAAGCGGGUGGUAAACUCCAUCCAAGGCUAAAUACUAGCACGAGUCCGAUAGCGAAGAAGUACCGCGAGGGAAAGUUGAAAAGAACUUUGAAGAGAGAGUUCAAGAGUACGUGAAACCGCUGAGAGGCAAACUGGUGGAGCUGAAAUGGCUUUGAGGAAUUCAGCCUUUUGCUUGGGAGAUGGCGUCGGUUGUGGGAUUUAACGACUCCUCCGGCGUUGGUCUUCUCGAGUGAUAGGUGCACUUUCCUCUUAGUCGGACCACGACCAGCGAACUGUCUUGUCUAGCAUGAGUGGAAGGUAGCGUUCACUUCGGUGCACGUGUUAUAGCCACGAAUCUGGGCGAGCGGUGCGUUGGAUUACUUGAUGCCUGCCCUUCGGGCUCGUACGUUGGUUCCUUUCUGGAAUGGCUCUGGCUUCACUGCCUCGGCAGGGGAGUUGGAGACGUUUCGGUUAGGACUGGCCUCUGCGAUUGGCGUCUACAGUCAGUGGUUUCGAAGUAGGCAGUCCACCUGACCCGUCUUGAAACACGGACCAAGGAGUCUAACAUGUGCGCGAGUCAUUGGGCUCUACGAAACCUAAAGGCGCAGUGAAAGUGAAGAUCCAUUCUGGUGGAUUGAGGUAGGAUCCUGGGUCACGGCUCAGGCGCACUACCGGCCCGUCCGACAUGUCUUCAUGCGGGCGGAGCAAGAGCGUACACGUUGGGACCCGAAAGAUGGUGAACUAUGCUUGCGCAGGUCGAAGCCAGAGGAAACUCUGGUGGAGGACCGUAGCGAUU
rnacentral:rRNA from 2 species